rnacentral:rRNA from 1 species
GAUGAACGCUGGCGGCGUGCCUAAUACAUGCAAGUCGAGCGAACGGACGAGAAGCUUGCUUUUCUGAUGUUAGCGGCGGACGGGUGAGUAACACGUGGAUAACUUACCUAUAAGACUGGGAUAACUUCGGGAAACCGGAGCUAAUACCGGAUAAUAUUUUGAACCGCAUGGUUCAAAAGUGAAAGACGGUCUUGCUGUCACUUAUCGAUGGAUCCGCGCUGCAUUAGCUAGUUGGUAAGGUAACGGCUUACCAAGGCAACGAUGCAUAGCCGACCUGAGAGGGUGAUCGGCCACACUGGAACUGAGACACGGUCCAGACUCCUAAGGGAGGCAGCAGUAGGGAAUCUUCCGCAAUGGGCGAAAGCCUGACGGAGCAACGCCGCGUGAGUGAUGAAGGUCUUCGGAUCGUAAAACUCUGUUAUUAGGGAAGAACAUAUGUGUAAGUAACUGUGCACAUCUUGACGGUACCUAAUCAGAAAGCCACGGCUAACUACGUG